CCUACGGGAGGCAGCAGUCGGGAAUAUUGCGCAAUGGAGGAAACUCUGACGCAGUGACGCCGCGUAUAGGAAGAAGGUCUUCGGAUUGUAAACUAUUGUCGUUAGGGAAGAGAAAGGACAGUACCUAAGGAGGAAGCUCCGGCUAACUACGUGCUAGCAGCCGCGGUAAUACGUAGGGAGCGAGCGUUAUCCGGAUUUACUGGGUGUAAAGGGAGCGUAGACGGCCAGACAAGUCAGAAGUGAAAGCCCAGGGCUCAACCCUGGGACUGCUUUUG
rnacentral:rRNA from 1 species